CUGAAGUCAAGGAAAUGGAGUUCUUUAAGUUAAUUCAACUCUAUUCUGAGACUCCAAAAUGAAAAAGUUGUUAGAAACAGGUAUUUUGUGAAAAUAAAUUCAAGAUCUACUUAUCUACUAACAACA